CUAUUACGUAUUGAAAUUAUCAUUCAUUAUAUGACCAUCUUAUUGUACCAUCAGAUCAAUGCUCAGGUUAGUCGAGCCAUACUCGAGCCUGGAUAUUUGUUUUGUUGGAUGCGCUUGAUUUUGUCAUGUUAAUGGUUGGAUCUAACCAAAAUUUUCAGUAGAGGCACCACAUGCCUGCUGAAGGGAUGUCUGGGGUAAAAUCUGAUUGCGAGAAAUUAUUUAAAGAAAUAAUUGGUUGUGAACCUAUCCAUAGAUGCAC
rnacentral:lncRNA from 1 species